rnacentral:rRNA from 1 species
AUUGAACGCUGGCGGCAGGCCUAACACAUGCAAGUCGAGCGCGCGGCUGACGGGUGAGUAAUGUAUGGGGACUGCCCGAUAGAGGGGGAUCACUACUGGCACCGGUAGCUAAUACCGCAUACUAUCGGAUAACCCAUAUGGGAUUAGCUCGUAGGUGAGGUAAUGGCUCACCUAGGCGACGCUCCCUAGCUGGUCUGAGAGGAUGAUCAGCCACACUGGGACUGAGACACGGCCCAGACUCCUACGGAGGCAGCAGUGGGGAAUAUUGCACAAGGGGCGCAAGCCUGAGGCAGCCAGGGCGCGUGUAUGAAGAAGGCCCUAGGGGUGUAAAGUACUUUCAGUCGGGAGGCGUUACCGACAGAAGAAGCACCGGCUAACUCCGUGCCAGCCGCCGCGGUAAUUC